rnacentral:rRNA from 1 species
GACGAACGCUGGCGGCGUGCCUAAUACAUGCCAGUUGAGCGAUGAAGAUUGGUGCUUGCACCAAUUUGAAGAGCAGCGAACGGGUGAGUAACGCGUGGGGAAUCUGCCUUUGAGCGGGGGACAACAUUUGGAAACGAAUGCUAAUACCGCAUAACAACUUUAAACAUAAGUUUUAAGUUUGAAAGAUGCAAUUGCAUCACUCAAAGAUGAUCCCGCGUUGUAUUAGCUAGUUGGUGAGGUAAAGGCUCACCAAGGCGAUGAUACAUAGCCGACCUGAGAGGGUGAUCGGCCACAUUGGGACUGAGACACGGCCCAAACUCCUACGGGAGGCAGCAGUAGGGAAUCUUCGGCAAUGGGCGAAAGUCUGACCGAGCAACGCCGCGUGAGUGAAGAAGGUUUUCGGAUCGUAAAACUCUGUUGGUAGAGAAGAACGUUGGUGAGAGUGGAAAGCUCAUCAAGUGACGGUAACUACCCAGAAAGGGACGGCUAACUACGUG